rnacentral:tRNA from 1 species
GGAGGGGUGGCAGAGCGGUUGAAUGCACUGGUCUUGAAAACCAGCAAACGUCAUAAGGCGUUUCGUGGGUUCGAAUCCCACCCCCUCCG